CAAGCCUUGCACUCUCCCACUGAGCCAUGUGGCGCGUGGCGGUUGACGCGUGUGACUUGUCGAUCGGGUAAGUUGAAGAGGCGACUGGCUCGUGGGUUUGUGGGUCGAUUCCCAUGGAUAUGAGACGUUUCUUCAGGUGUAAAGGGGCCACGCUUAAUAUCAGGUCUGAGGUAGUUUGUCCAUCUUAGCCUGCAACUCUUACCACAACGAAGAAGGCCUGAAAGGGAAAGCAAAAAUCUUAUAAUCAUCUGAAACAAAUGUGUGGAAGGCAAGUUAUAUUAUCACUUAUUCUUUGGUUGUUUCACAAUAAUUUAAGGGAAAUGCAUAACAAAAUCUAUAAGUGAAGAAAAAUCUCCAAAUGGAUGAGUGAUUUUAUCACUUAGCAAGCUUAGCUGCAACAUAUCCUAAUGAAAUUGAAGGUAAAGUAUAAACAGAACAAGGGGAGAGCAACAGAAAAAUAUAACCUUGUGUUAGAGAACAUUUAUUGUAGCUUAUUUAGUGUUUCUUUUAAUAGAUAAGUUUCAAUAAAUGCA